rnacentral:rRNA from 1 species
ACCAUGCACCGAAGCUGCGGCAGCGAACGUAUCACUUAAAGCGAUUCAGCGGGUUACGAUUGACGGAGCGAAGCGACGUCAAAGCGUAUACAAAGUCGAGUCGGUUUAAGGAUACGUUCGUUGGGUAGGGGAGCGUUCUGUAAGCCUGUGAAGGUGUGUCGUGAGGCAUGCUGGAGGUAUCAGAAGUGCGAAUGCUGACAUAAGUAACGAUAAAGCGGGUGAAAAGCCCGCUCGCCGGAAGACCAAGGGUUCCUGUCCAACGUUAAUCGGGGCAGGGUGAGUCGACCCCUAAGGCGAGGCCGAAAGGCGUAGUCGAUGGGAAACGGGUUAAUAUUCCCGUACUUGGUGUUACUGCGAAGGGGGGACGGAGAAGGCUAUGUUGGCCGGGCGACGGUUGUCCCGGUUUAAGCGUGUAGGUGUGUGUUCCAGGUAAAUCCGGUUCACUUUAACACUGAGGCGUGACGACGAGGCACUACGGUGCUGAAGCAACAAAUGCCCUGCUUCCAGGAAAAGCCUCUAAGCAUCAGGUAACAUCAAAUCGUACCCCAAACCGACACAGGUGGUCAGGUAGAGAAUACCAAGGCGCUUGAGAGAACUCGGGUGAAGGAACUAGGCAAAAUGGUGCCGUAACUUCGGGAGAAGGCACGCUGACACGUAGGUGAAGUGAUUUACUCAUGGAGCUGAAGUCAGUCGAAGAUACCAGCUGGCUGCAACUGUUUAUUAAAAACACAGCACUGUGCAAACACGAAAGUGGACGUAUACGGUGUGACGCCUGCCCGGUGCCGGAAGGUUAAUUGAUGGGGUCAGCGCAAGCGAAGCUCCUGAUCGAAGCCCCGGUAAACGGCGGCCGUAACUAUAACGGUCCUAAGGUAGCGAAAUUCCUUGUCGGGUAAGUUCCGACCUGCACGAAUGGCGUAAUGAUGGCCAGGCUGUCUCCACCCGAGACUCAGUGAAAUUGAACUCGCUGUGAAGAUGCAGUGUACCCGCGGCAAGACGGAAAGACCCCGUGAACCUUUACUAUAGCUUGACACUGAACAUUGAGCCUUGAUGUGUAG